GCCAGGCACGGUGGCGCUGUACCUAUAGUCCCAGCUACUCGGGAGGCUAAGGUGGGAGGAUCGCUUGAGCCCAGGAGUUCUGGGCUGUUGUGUGCUAUGCCGAUUGGGUGUCCCCACUAAGUUCGGCAUCAAUAUGAUGAUCUCCUGGCAGCAGGGGACCACUAGGUUGCCUAAGGAGGGGUGAACAGGCCCAGGUCAGAAACGGAGCAGGUCAAAACUCCCAUGCUAAUCAGUAGUGGGAUAGCGCCUGUGAACAGUCACUGCACUCCCUCCUGGGCAACAUAAGACACCGUCUCU
rnacentral:SRP_RNA from 1 species